AAAUCACUUUGGUUUGGAAUGGGUGGAUGUUCUUGUGUGGGCACACCUCAUUUUCUUUGAGAAAUAUGUCAAUGUCUUAGUGCUAUUUAAUUCAUUAUUCUGUUUUCCAGAAUCAGCACAUGCACAAAUCAGUGUGGUCAAAGAGUAGGCAUCACAGUAGAGUGUUGGAUACCUCUGUCAUCAGCUCUGCCACCACAAAGCUUUUGAAAACUUCAGGGAUCUGUGGAUCAUGAACAAGAAAUGCUUCUUUGGGGUAUAACGUGUAUGAGACAAGUAGACUAUGGUUCUACAUAUGGAUUUAUCAGCAAAAAAGUUAAAGUGAGUCAUAUGAAGGUAUGAGCAAACCAUGUCAUUAGCAUACUUAAAGAUGGAAGAGCAACUUUUGUAUCUCUGAUAUUCCUGAUAUCACCACAGACAGAACGGCGGCUCCUCCUGAGAUCUGCUCUCCUGUCCCCUGCUGAGGACAGAGGAACGUGGUGCAGGACAGGUGGGACCAUCAGAUGGAGAGACAUGCUACAAGUGAAGAAAUGCAGAUGUGACAUGCUCGACAUCCCACACGGCUGUUUCACAUCCCUGUGAGGUAUCACACUUCCUUUCCUCUCCAGCCCGCUGGAGAAAUGACAGUGUUGAACAGGAACACUGCUUUCUGUUUGAAUUGCAGCUAAUAGAAGUGGUUUUUUGUUUUGUUUUGUUUUGUUUUUUUUUAAAUGCUGAAUACUCCCUGACUUCUGGUUAAUUCUCCAAUUUCUGCCUCAGCUGUAAGACUAAUCUGGUACUUCCUACUGAGCCCCUGAAACCAUAGCAAGUACUUGGUUCCCUGUGCUCAUAUCCCUUUCAGUUUGUUACUAAAAUAAGUAGGGAUAGGAUCUGAACAGAGAUGUAAUAAUUAAGGAACCAAGUGUUGCAUUAAAAAUACCAGAUUUAUAUUUGUUCAGGAUAUUACUAGGAUUACUAUAUAUUAAAUAGCAUAAUUUGUAUCCCCUUUUAAAAUGCGUUUUACUAUGGCCAUGGAUUAAAGAAUAUGUGAAGAUCCAGAAAUCAAUUCUUCUCCUUAUCAUUUUAUUUCCAAGGCUCUGUUACCGUGUCUAGUAUAGAUCUUUACUAAAAGAAAAAGAGUCCUGAAUUAUAUAUUUUUUACUUUUCGUAGAUAGUUUUACAAGACACGUGUGGAGAUCUGAAGUGUUUAGCAGAGUAUAAGGAGGUGAAUAAAUUACUGUUCAAUUAGACCA
rnacentral:lncRNA from 1 species